rnacentral:lncRNA from 1 species
AUGUGGCUGCAGAGAUGGCUGGCACACUGGUCAACCCCUUCCCAGGGGGUCCUGUCUAUACCCACCAUCCAUGGCUUGGUCUUGGCUAUACUUCCCUACCCUCACUCUCAACUUAGCCCUGGCACUGGCCUCUGGCCCUUUUCAGUGCUGGUCAUCUUUGAAUCCCUGCUAGCCUGGAGGUCCAAAAGUUUCCUUGAUGGUGCCAUGCUGACAGACACAUCUCUCCCUGGCUCUGCAGUUGCUACCUUUGAAUGGAGAACGGUGAGCCAUGGAUAGUGACAACCUGAGUCCUAGGGACGCCACUGAGGAGCCUGGCCUGGCACAACUGCCACCCAUAUGGACCAGGUCCUGUUUGGAUGAGGCUGUUGUCAACAAGGCUAUAGGACACUCAUCAUAGGAACAAUUUUUCGUGUGUUUCGGGCGGUCUCCCAGACCAAAUCUCAGUCAAAGCCUGGGGCACCUUUAAGGCUCUUGCUCCAUGUUGUUCAACAACCUCAGGAAAGGCUGCAUUAUUCAUGCCAUGGAAGGAUGAAGGCUCCCGCUUUGCCAACAGACAGAGACAAGGCUGUGGAGUGAUCGGAGAUUUGCUCACAUUAUCUUCCACCCCAUACCUGCUGGUGGUGAUUAAAGGAAGAUAAAAGUGGGACUGCCCAGUGCUUACACGCUGCAGAUACAGCUCCCAUCUGACAUUUGCGGUGUGGACAUCAUCCCAGCCCAGGGCAGGAGCCGGCCAGCUGGAGCAUGUGUUGGAUUCUCUGCCUGAGCCUCACCCUCUGCAUAGAGGUGCAGGCCACUCUGGAAAGAAUCCUGACCUUGCCUGUCUUCUAGGUGACCAGUACAUCUACAGUACUCAGCAUGUCUGGAAAAGAAUAAUUUUCUGAAGAGUGAGGAUGCAAUCAUAUCUGAACAACAAACUCUCAGUUGUGGGACCAACAUAGCACGGAAACAGCCUCCAGGUGUUAGCUUUGUUUUCCCGCCAUGCCCACAUGCAAGUGCUGCAGUGACAACACCGGAUCCUUGACCUCCUGCACCACAAGGGAACUGCUGCAGGACACACCUCCAGAGGGCACCACUUACCCGUUUUAUGGUGUGAAUGAACCCUGGGAUGUAACCUGAGCUCCAUGCCCUACCUCCUCUGCAUAUGCCACCUACCUGCACACUUAGACCUCCCAGGCCUCAGAGAAGGCUCUGGUGGAACCUCUUGGGUACCACCUACCACAAAGCAUCCACGUUAGGCAAUCUUUGCCACCCCUUUCUCUUCUCCAGCCUAUCCAUGGCUUCCUUCAGCUCCCAGAGCUGGUCCAGUCCCCCAGCCAUCCAGGUCAUCUGAUGCUAAGCAGCAGGAUCCUUUGAAGGGGCUAUGGGUAUAGCCUCAGGCCCCAGAGCCCCAGGGGAUCCCUUUCAGGGCCACACUGAUCCUGGCACUGCCACUGUCCCUGGCUCAGCUACAGAAGGAGGGACACAGCAGGCACUUACCCUCUGCUGUAGAAGAGCAGGAACACCCAGCCCUGCUCAGCCAGCUUCCUUUUUCAGGUCUGUCUGAGCUCAUUUUAUGGUAUUUUGUUUGGACUCAAGUUGCAUGGACUCAGGUUGUUAUCCAGUUCUUCCCUUGACUGCCAACAUUUACAGUUGGAGUUGCAUCAGAGUAUAGAGUUGUACAAAUCCUAGAAUUGCAGAGCUAGAAGGAAACUUAAAGAUCAUUAUAGCCACCAUUCUUUGAGAGUUUAUAACUUUGUGCCAAACAUUAACUUUAUGCAGAUGUUUUUGCCUGCCUAGUGCAAACUUUCCUUUUCCUGUGACAUCACUCUUCCCACAGAGAGACACAGGGUCCACAAUGAGCAGGUAACCCAAACUGGGCCUAUUAAAGUCAGUCCCAAGAUUUUUGUAGGAAUAUUAGGAAUGAGUAGUUCUUACCACCUGCAGGUGAGUCAGCAUGUGAAUGAAGAUAAAGCAGUAAUAUAGAACAGAGAGAGAGCGAGCUCUGGUUUCAGCGCUUGAACUCCUGAACCAAGAAUUUUCAGCUAAAUGAGCUGAUAUGUUCCGUUUUUUUUCUUAUUUAUAUAUUUACUUAUUUAUUGCUUGUUAGGGAUGCACCGGUGGCAUAUGGAGGUUCCCAGGCUAGGGGUUGAAGUGGAGCUACAGCUGCUGGCCUACGCCACAGCCACAGCAACUCAGGAUCCGAGCUGUGUCUUUAACCUACACCACAGCUCACAGCAAUGCUGGAUCCCGGACCCAUCAAGCAAGGUCAGGGAUUGAACCCGCAUCCUCAUGUAUACUAGUGAGAUUCAUUUCCACUGCACCACGACAGGAGCUCCCACAUUCCCUCUUUUGUGAAGCUAGUUUUUGUGGGUUUUUUUUUUUUUUUUUUGUCUUUUUGUCUUUUUAGGGCUGCACCUGAGGCAUAUGGAGGUUCCCAGCCUAGGGGUUGAAGUGGAGCUGUAGCUGCCGGCCUACACCAGAGGCACAGCAACGCUGGAUCUAGCCUGCAUCUGUGACCUACACCACAGCUCAUGGCAACACCAGAUCCUUAACCCACUGAGCAAGGCCAGGGAUCAGACCUGCAACCUCAUGGUUCCUAGCCCAAUUCGUUUUUGCUGCGAUACAACAGGAACUCCUAUGUAAACUAUUUUUAAUUGGGUUUCUGUCUCUGGAAACCAAAACAGUUGUGACAGGUAGGAAUAGAUAUCUCUGUCCUCAAUUUUUUUUUUUGCCACACCCAGGGCAUCUAGAAGUUUCUGUGCCAGGGCUUGAACCUGCAACAUGGAAGGGACCACUGCAGAAAUAAUGCUGUAUUCUUAACCACUAUGCCCACAGAGAGCUCCCAUCUGUUUGCAAUUUUUUGAUUAAAAAGUGAG